UACGGAGGGGGCUAGCGUUGUGCGGAAUUACUGGGCGUAAAGCGCACGUAGGCGGCUUUGCAAGUUAGAGGUGAAAGCCCGGGGCUCAACUCCGGAAUUGCCUUUAAAACUGCAUCGCUAGAAUUGUGGAGAGGUAAGUGGAAUUCCGAGUGUAGAGGUGAAAUUCGUAGAUAUUCGGAAGAACACCAGUGGCGAAGGCGACUUACUGGACACAUAUUGACGCUGAGGUGCGAAAGCGUGGGGAGCAAACAGG
rnacentral:rRNA from 1 species